GAGGGCACAGCUCGGUGGUAGAGCACACGCCUGUCAUCCCUGAGGCCCUGGGUUCCAUCCCCAGUGCCUCCA
rnacentral:tRNA from 1 species